GACGAACGCUGGCGGCGUGCUUAACACAUGCAAGUCGAGCGGUAAGGCCCUUUCGGGGGUACACGAGCGGCGAACGGGUGAGUAACACGUGGGUGACCUGCCCUCAGCUCUGGGAUAAGCCUGGGAAACUGGGUCUAAUACUGGAUAUGACUCCACGGUGCAUGUCGUGGGGUGGAAAGCCUUGUGCGGCUGAGGAUGGGCCCGCGGCCUAUCAGCUUGUUGGUGGGGUGANGGCCUACCAAGGCGACGACGGGUAGCCGGCCUGAGAGGGCGACCGGCCACACUGGGACUGAGACACGGCCCAGACUCCUACGGGAGGCAGCAGUGGGGAAUCUUGCGCAAUGGGCGAAAGCCUGAUCCAGCAAUGCCGCGUGUGUGAAGAAGGCCUGCGGGGUUGUAAAGCACUUUCAGUGGGGAAGAAAAGCUUGGUGUGAAUAGCGCCGAGUCUUG
rnacentral:rRNA from 1 species